GUGCUCACUUUGGUAGCACAUAUACAAAAAUUGGAACAAUGCAAAGAUUAACACAGCCUCUGUGCAAGGAUGACACAAAAAUUUGUAAAGCAUUCCAUAUUUGG
ensembl:snRNA U6 U6 spliceosomal RNA